UUGGUUUUCUUUUUGGCUUAUUUUGUGGCAAAUUUUUCUCAGGGCUUGAAAAUGUUGCGCAAUAUCCUUUUCCCAUUUUCUAUUUUCGUUUUGGAUUAUUCUUAUUGAAUUUGAUUUAACACUGUUUAACAUUAGUUGCUGGGGAAGAAAAGGAGAGGAAUGGAAAUUAUUAAUCUUGCUAAUCAGCUGGGAUAUUUUUUUGUGACUUGAAUAAGCUAGAAACCCACUUGAAUUUUCUUUUCUGACAAAUCAAUGAAGUUGAAAUUACCAAGUGAGAAGGAGAUUUAGAAUUUCAUUUAUUUGUAGUUGUCAAAUAAAAGAAGUUUUCUCUGUGUGUGUGUGUGUGUG
rnacentral:misc_RNA from 1 species